GGAGCAUGACGUCAAAGCUCCUCCCCCACAUUUGAGCGGUCUUUCGCCAGGUCCACGUUUCAAUGAGAUUGGCGGACUUUGUUAACUGAGACGGGGAAGACCUGGAACCAUGAAGGGUACAGAGGCAGCUCGAGAGGACCAGGCUGAGCAAGCCCUGAGGAUCUGUCUACCGCACAAGUGAAGAAGAUGAAGGUGCAUCCAACACUGAUGUGUUGAUUGUUGUUGAAGGGACUGAGGUACUUGGCAACUGUGGAAGUGUUGCAAGGGCCUGUCUCCUGCUGAUGGGCAUCAUUUAUGCCAUGAACUUGAGUUACCCACCAAAAAUUAAGUACAUGUUUGAAGUGUGCCAAAAGCUUCUUCUAGAGCUUGGUGUCCUUAAGCUGUCCCUGAAGAUCCUGUCCCUGCGAAACAAGCUUGAUAGCUUGAGUGCACAUGUUUGACCCAAGAGUUGUCCUUCCAAAGAGGACACUAAAAGAAAAAGAAAAAACUGCACAUUUGUUUACGUGGCUGUUUGUCUUUGUUCUCAUUUUAAUUACUGUAUUUUUAUUUCAACUUGUUGCACUGUUUUAAUGUGUGCUGUCUUCGGGUCGAGAGAGGGAGGAAGGGAAGUAAGAUCAGCAUUUUCAAGUUAAACCAGAGGUUGUCAACUGGUGGGUUGUGGGGCCAUUUUCAAAGGGUCGCGGAUGUGAGUGUUGUGUUGUUUGCAAGCCUUUUGGAAAAUGUUUUAUUGAAAAACAUGUUUUUUCACAGAAAAAUAAAGGUGCUGAAUUAAA